rnacentral:lncRNA from 1 species
GAGCUCUCUCGCGUCAGGCAGCGGCGUUGUGAAAAUCCUCUCGAUUCAGGUGUCCGGAUAGCGCUCACGAAGUGGUAAACCUGGCGCAACACUCUGACGCCGUAGUGGGGAGUGUACCAUGAUCGAGCCAAGAUGGAGAACAAUUCGUAGUUUUCUAUUUCUAUCGAUACAUUCGUUUACGUUUUCCAGCACCCCAUGUCCGACGAACCCUUUCGACGCCACAUAACGAAUUAGCCAUCCACGAUGAAAUUUCUCGGUGUAGUAUCAAGAUAAUCAAUAAGUUUCAGCGAUUGAUUUGCAACUAUCGCAUAAUGGAAGCGACAAAUUUAUUUUCUCGUCUCUCAGUUCUAACCAUUGGUCACGACACCCUAUAUGCGUCAUCGAAACUCAUUUCUUUGGACAAUUAGCUUUCUUUUCGAUCGCUUUCCAGUUCGAUUGCUCAACAGCUAAUAAUUACAUUCGAACUCGCAACGUUACUCGUUGCAAGGUAUCGGGAGAGCAGCCCGCUAGGGGUUGAUUCGAGCCAUUGUCGGUCGAACGAUGUUUGGCCGUUGUCGAGCACGGCGGGACGCACGAUUAAUGAUACGUUUCAUACUCGUUUUCGUUCAUUGUCGAUGUUAAUCGAUUACUGGUCCCGCGAGAGCACGAGUUCCAACGCCAUUAGUUAAGAUUGGAAUAAAUUUCGGGUGAAAGUGGUCUAGGGCCUAAGGGUCGAUCGAUCCUCCCAGUGAUAAAUUUACCUGUCAAUUAACUUCGUUUCACCUUUCAGUUGUUCGAGAUAAUAGUCCGACGCUCGCUGGUGUAGGACCGUAGUUAAAAUUGUGUGCAAUGGACCGUUUGUAAACAAAUCGAUGGAUCUUAAAAAUCAGCUCGUUGCACGAGAUAGGAAGAACACAGAUUAGUUUCGUGGAUAUUUCGAGGAACUUUGGCAUUUUGCGCUCGUGUCAAAUAUCGUGCGAGAAGUUGAAAGUAUCGUCGCUUAAUUAACGGACUUUCUGCAAAGCGAAAACCAGUCAGAAGAAGAGGCGUACUUGGAAACGUGUACGGUAUCAAUUGAACUGUGAAAAUUUUUGCAACAAAUAUCGGGACAGGAAUCUAUUCAACUGGCCGCCAUUCAUUUCGUCUUAAGAACGUUAUCGAAGGAUUGUCAUAACCCGUGAAAGUAAGUGUCGUUUCGCAAUACUUUCAUGUUAUCAAACCGUAUUAGGUCUUCUCAGGAUUCAAGAUCGGUCAUUUGAUAUGCAAUACGCUAAUAGUUCCGAGAAUCCUGUACACGGUUUUAAGAAUUUCUUCUUCUUCCUGGACUUGCCGUGACGUCGCGACGUAUAUGCCUUUCUUCUCUUUUGUUUUUCUCGUUUUCUAUUAUCUUCUCCUUCUCUCGGUACUCUAUUCCUCUCUCGUUGGAUGCUGUUCCUCUCAGAAAGUCCCUUCGAAGAGGUAGGGCACGCGAAUGUGGGAGGGAGAGUUUCCGGUCGCCCACGCGACUCUGCAACAACCACUUCGCCGAGGUAUCAGGGACAAAACACGGGCCGGCGGAUGUCUCUUCUCUUCUGGGCAAAUGAAGAAGUCGCCUCACAUUCGGCAAAUAUAAUGAAAGCUCCCUGUUUCGUUUUCGCAUCCGUUCCAUGACCUGCCGACAGAAAUUCCUCUCGUUCCAUUUCUUUUCCAGCGGCGCCUAUUACCGAAUUUUGCAAAAACUGAACUUAUUUCGCAUCAGGUUCGAUCACCUGAAUUCGACACAGUUAAUAACACGAAGGAAAUAGUAAUUGCACGGAACUUCUCUGACGUAGGUGAUGAAAUUAGAAGAUGGACGAUGAAGGCAUCCGCGUUUGCAAUAUGCUUCGAACGAAUAGGAAUUAGAAAGCUCAUGGAAGGAGGCAAAGGAGGCAAGUCCUACGAAGGGUACAUAGCCGCGUUGCCACCGUGAAGCAAUAGAAAGGCUGCAGAGCGGGAAAUUGUUUGGCCGCGGCCGAUUCCAACGGUACAUUGGAACCACUCGACAGAGAAAAAGAGAACGAGAGAGAACAGACUCUUCUGGCCAGCUCCGCGUACGCACCACCCACCACGAAGUACUCGAGGAACGAGGAUUAUUCGUCCUUCGAGAGGAGAAUUCGGUGCUAAAGCCAUCUUCUUCGUCGCCUCCCUGUUUUCGUUUUCUUCCUUCGUCUCUCUUUUUUUCGUUCACCGUUUGGUCGGAACCAUCUAGCGGAAAAAGAAAGCGACCCAGAGAUUCUUAGGGGCGUCGAGGCGACCGUGCGAAAUCGACUUCACCGCGAAGAUCACGGUAAUAUUGAAUAAUAAUACGAUAUAAUUUAAUAACCGUGCCGCUGGAUGAUGCUUAAUGACGAUAAUGCUCGAGUACGACGGCCACCUAAGAUCAGCAGGGAGGCAGAAAAGUUUGCAGGUUGUUCCGCUUAAUCGCGUGUUUAUAUACGCUAUAGAUAAAUAUAUCCUUUCUCUUGCACGUUGUAAGCUCAAUUAACGAAAUGUACGCUGUUCAUUUCGUGAACAACGAUCAUCGAUUAAAGUGUUCGUUUACAUUGGCCUUCGCGACGAACCUUGGAACAAAGGCUGCACGCUGUUCCGCGACUGUGAAGAUAGACAAUGGAUCAGAGAGGCUGGUUAUCCAAUGCGGUCAUAUUAAGUAACCGCGAGGCUGGUUCAUAAUCGCGAUCGUAUCUGACCGUAAGAUGUCCCAACUUAUAGGCAGCGUAUCUCGAGAAUUUAUGUCACGGGUUGCACGCCAAUAGUUGGUCGCUAAACCGGACGAAAGACGACCGAAUCGUUAAUCGACGAUGAUUGCACGGAAAGUCGUAGGGAAGGAAAGGAUUCCGUUGCGAAUAACAGGAAUGUAGGACGGUAGGAGCCGUCGGUGAGGUUUCAAGGGCAAAAAGAUUUAUUGGAAAUGGUGCAUUUAAUUGCUUUUAAACGAUACUCAUCUCCGCGACCGUAAUCAACGUUGCGUCACGGUUGCAGGUAAUCGGCGUGGACUUUACGAUUACCUAUACGAUCGCGAGGGUACUCGAAGAGCACGCAAAACCAGAGAAACCACCGAUGUUCGGAUAAAAGUACGAGGAGCAGGCUGCUCGAUCGUGUCCCAGAGAUCGCUCCCCGAUGGAUUUAUAUUGGCAGUCGAUUAAAUUUCUUCGAGCAAUUUACAUCGGCUGAUUUAUCCAUCGAAUCGAAUCGGUCGUAAAUAAGUGUAGCGUGCGGUGCGUGGUGCGCGUCGAGUAUCACCGUUUACGACUGAAUCGACAGAAAAAGACAGAAGCGAGGAAGGUUGAGAGAAAGAAAGGAGAAAACGGAGGAAUCUGGGAAGCGGAGGUCCCGAAGAGUCGUAAUUUCGCAGCGAAUCGCGAGGGUGAGGACGCUGCCUCGAAACGGCGAGGAACAGUGGACAAACCGAGCGACGCGUCGCUGGACUUCGACCGCGCGACGCCACCGGAGAAGGAGAAAAGACGGGAGGAACAGGGACGUGCCGGAGGAAAAAAUAUAAAAAAGAAAAACGACCGGGUAAAUAAAGAUCGACCCGUCUCCCACGCCCGUGACCAUUGUUAUUAUAUAUCCCGUGGGGUAUUGUUCCCAUGGGAAAACUGGACAGGCCCGUUCUACCACCUAUAAGACACCGGCCAGCGAGAGAAUAUGCACGCACACACGCUUUUACUCGAGCCACGCCAGACUUCAGGUAACACACUCUUCUCUCUCUCGUCUCGGAGACGCGUGUGCUGCUCGCACGCGCGCAACCGAGCAAACGUGUAGCACACGCACGGGACAGGCCGCACACUCGAGCGCAGAUUUCAGAUAUUGUGGGGGGCGUUCACCUCGCAUCUCGGUCCUCGUGGUUCUCUCGUGUGAGAGUACACACGAACGGUCAGCGCGUACGCUCCUAUCUAUGUAUUUCGUCUCCUCUACGUUUCCGUGCAAGGCGUUGCAACGAGUAUCCUCGCGUGCCUGUGUACGUUGCACGGUGUAUAUGGUUGGUCUUACGCCGUUGGAACGCACACACGCGACAGAGCCAUGUUCGUACAGGCAACGGAGGUACUUCGGUGGAUGCUUGAGGAACAGGGUGCGGCUCAACCCACCUCGCUUGACUUACCUACCCGUAUUACCGUCUAGGUAGGUAUAUCCAGGCGCGAGCCACGCAGGAUACUAUGCCAUAUUUGCAUCCGUGAUCCAGGACACGUGUGUAUCCACGGGAGCGCGUGUGCGUUCUUUUUUUCUUCUUUCUCUUUCUUUCUCUUACCCUCUCGUAUCGUUUCCCUUCGUCUACGUGGACCAUUGCCUUCGCCGUGAUGCACCACCGCUCGUGAUUCUCUCCGUGUCUCUUUUACUCUUUCCUCCUUUUCUUCUUUUCCUUAAUUUUUAUCUUUUUCAUUUCGCUUUUGUCUCUCUUACGCGUACGAAAGUAUUCUCUCCUCCUUCGUCCUACUACGGAAGAUUAUAAAUUUGCAUGAUCGUGGACGUACAAAGAUGCACCAAGUUCAACAUUCGUUCCUAUAAAACAGGACUUUCGAGGUAAUGUCGAUAAACGAAUAUUUAGUUCUUAUUCUCUUUUCUAACUUUCUUUCUGUUUACAGCGUAAAUACCGUAACUGCGUAGAAAAGAAAAUCGUGUCUGGUUACGCAAAAAUUUGCGAUGGACUCGAUUGGAGAGGCGAGGCGGCUGGUCGAAUGUCACGGACGCGUCGAUAAUCAAU